rnacentral:rRNA from 1 species
GAUGAACGCUAGCGGCAGGCUUAACACAUGCAAGUCGAGGGGUAGUUAUCUUCGGAUAGAGAGACCGGCGCACGGGUGCGUAACGCGUAUGCAAUCUACCUUUUACAUAGGGAUAGCCCAGAGAAAUUUGGAUUAAUACCUCAUUGUAAAUAGACUCGGCAUCGAGAUUAUAUUAAAGUCACAACGGUAAAAGAUGAGCAUGCUUACCAUUAGCUAGUUGGUAAGGUAACGGCUUACCAAGGCUACGAUGGGUAGGGGUCCUGAGAGGGAGAUCCCCCACACUGGUAACGAGACACAGACCCGUAUCCUACGGGACGCAGCAGAAAGGAAUAUUGGACACUGGACGCUAGCCUGAUCCAGCCAUGCCGCGUGCAGGAUGACGGUCCUAUGGAUUGUAAACUGCUUUGAUACGAGAAGAACCACUGCUACGUGUAGCAGCUUGACGGUAUCGUAAGAAUAAGGAUCGGCUAACUCCGUG